rnacentral:rRNA from 1 species
AGUGAACGCUGGCGGUAGGCCUAACACAUGCAAGUCGAACGGCAGCACAGUAAGAGCUUGCUCUUACGGGUGGCGAGUGGCGGACGGGUGAGGAAUACAUCGGAAUCUACUUUUUCGUGGGGGAUAACGUAGGGAAACUUACGCUAAUACCGCAUACGACCUACGGGUGAAAGCAGGGGAUCUUCGGACCUUGCGCGAUUGAAUGAGCCGAUGUCGGAUUAGCUAGUUGGCGGGGUAAAGGCCCACCAAGGCGACGAUCCGUAGCUGGUCUGAGAGGAUGAUCAGCCACACUGGAACUGAGACACGGGCCAGACUCCUACGGGAGCCAGCAGUGGGGAAUAUUGGACAAUGGGCGCAAGCCUGAUCCAGCCAUACCGCGUGAGUGAAGAAGGCCUUCGGGUUGUAAAGCCCUUUUGUUGGGAAAGAAAAGCAGCAGGUUAACACCCCGCUGUUCUGACGGUACCCAAAGAAUAAGCACCGGCUAACUUCGUG